CUUAUUGACAAAAAUCUGCAGCCACUUCUUUUCCAACUCUAGAGAGUUCUCCAAGAAGGAAGAACUCUCAUCUUCAACAAAUGAAGAUAGAGAGAAGCAACGGAAGUGUAGAGAAAGAGAGAGGCUGACAAGCUAGAGAGUAAGGAAGAAAUUGAGGGGUUAAGUGUGGUGAUUAUUCAAGGUCAUGGAAGAAAGGAUGGAUCCAUUAGAGAAGCAAAAACAUUUUUGACCAAGCCCUCAAGUUUUCAAGCAAAUUGUGUCAUAAAAGCCUAAGGUUGAGACAAUAUUGGGCAGCAUAUACAUAUUGAGCGCAAGUAAACGCUAAAGGUACAGAUACUCAUUUCGGGGAUCCGCUAGUUUAGGAUUUCCAUCCAGCUAUUUUGAAAGUGCUCCAUUAUUCCGGAGCGUUGACGUUUGAUAUCGACCUUUUGAUGUAUAUAUUUGUUUAUCCAGGGGUACUGCGGGGCCUUGUCCCGUCAUAUGUUAUGAUUGAUAUUCUUAGAGGUCUGUAGGCAUAUAUGUGUGGGUUGUAUAUAGAUGUUAUCCAGUUGUACUAGUAUGACUAAUGUUUUGAAACGUCUCCAUUCAUAGUGGCAGCCUUGCCGACUUGCGUAUAUACAUGUAUAUUUGGAAUGUAGUGUGUAGUGGAAGCCUUGUCGGCUUGCGUAUCUGUAUAUGAUAUAUAGCGGGACAUUCCUACAUGUAAUGAAAGCCUUGUUGGUUUACAUACUAUGUUAUCUUUUGACGAUUGUGACUCCC